ensembl:snRNA U1 U1 spliceosomal RNA
UUGUUUGCCUGGCAGGGGCAAUACAAUGAUCACGAAGGUGGUUCGCCCAGGGCGUGAUUCAGCCAUGGCACUUCAGUUGUGCGGUUGCCAAUUCCCCCAAAUGCGGGAAUCUCGGCUGCAUCAUUUCUGGAAGUGGAGGACUGCGUACGCCCUCUCUGU